GGAGAGUCUCACAUGAAACAAGUCAGUCUCACAAAAGCAAGCAAGUACCACACGAUUUCUCUCAGAGGUUAACUUCUGCCUAAUGAGUCUCAAUGCCAACCUGGCAACCAGUGGAUAAAAGAUCUGGUGUGGAACAGAUGCCCUCCUUGGCUGCUUCCUCCAACCCUAUCCUAGUCUCUGGCCCUUUCAUGGAGUUACAACUCACAAACAGAGAUCCAUCAGGAGGAUCCUGGGUUGCCCAUAUCUAUGCAGUGGAGAUAUUUUCAGCCAUAAAGAAGAAGGAAAUGAUAUCAUUUGCAGGAAAUUGGAUGCAACCAGAGAUUA